AUUGAACGCUGGCGGCAGGCCUAACACAUGCAAGUCGAGCGAGCGGCGGACGGGUGAGUAAUGUAUGGGGACUGCCCGAUAGAGGGGGAUAACUACUGGAAACGGUAGCUAAUACCGCAUACUAUCGGAUAACCCAUAUGGGAUUAGCUAGUAGGUGAGGUAAUGGCUCACCUAUGCGACGAUCCCUAGCUGGUCUGAGAGGAUGAUCAGCUAAACUAGGACUGAGACACGGCGCAGACUCCUACGGAGGCAGCAGGUGGGAAUAUUGCACAAUGGGACGAAGCCGGAGGAAGCCAAGCCGCGUGUAUGACGAAGGCCCUAGGGUUGUAAAUGACUGUCAGUCGGGAGGCGUUAACGACAGAAGAAGCUCCGGCAAACUCCGUGCCGGCCGCCGCGGUAGUUC
rnacentral:rRNA from 1 species